GCUUACGGCCAUACCAUCCUGAACACGCCUGAUUUUGUCUGAUCUCGGAAGCUAAGCAGGGUCGGGCCUGGGCAGUACUUGGAGACCGCCUGGGAAUACCAGGUGCUGUAAUUU
ensembl:rRNA 5S_rRNA 5S ribosomal RNA